UACAGAGGGUGCAAGCGUUAAUCGGAAUUACUGGGCGUAAAGCGUGCGUAGACGGUUAUGUAAGUCGGGUGUGAAAGCCCCGGGCUCAACCUGGGAAUGCCAUUCGAGACUGCAUAGCUAGGGUGCGGAAGAGGGAAGCGGAAUUUCCGGUGUAGCGGUGAAAUUCGUAGAUAUUCGGAAGAACACCAGUGGCGAAGGCGACUCACUGGCCCGUUACUGACGCUGAGGCGCGAAAGCGUGGGGAGCAAACAGG
rnacentral:rRNA from 1 species